GGGAGGCAGGCAGAGAUAGCCUACAGAUCAGGGAAGUGAGGAAUAUGGGGGGAAUGGCAGAGAUAGCCUACAGAUCAGGGAAGGGAUGCAUAUGGGGGGAGGGCAGAGAUAGCCUACAGAUCAGGGAAGUGGGCAUAUGUGGGGGUAAAGUAAGAGAAGGAGCAGAAAGGGGCAGCAAGGAUCUGGAAGGGACAGCAAGGAGCACAACAGGUAAAGUAGGAGAAGGAGCACAAAGGAACACAAAUGAGCAGGAAGGGUCUGCAAGGAGCACGAAGGGUCAGCAAGGAGAAGGAAGGGUCUGCAAGGAGCAGGAAGGGUCAACAAGGAGCAGGAAGGGUCAGCAAGGAGCAGGAAGGGUCAGCAAGGAGCUGGAAGGUAAAGCAGCACAAAGGUAAAGUAGAAGGAGCAGAAAGGGUGUCAGGAUUACAGAAUGAUCCAGCACGUAGAAUUGUGUAACACAGAGGACUGAUAGGUAACAUAUACCGGACCUUAGAAUGGCCGGACUAAUGUACCAAACAUAGUCAGGAAUAGCCGAGGUCAAGGGAAACAGAAAGAGACACAACGAUAAGGAAAAGCCAGGAGUCAGGGAUGCCAGAAAACAGGGAAGUCAAAAACAUUGCCAAAAUCAAAUAACCCGAAAUACCAGAAUCAAUAACGCCCUCUCGGACAACACAAGGGAAACCACGACAGGGCACUGAGCAGGAUGAGAACUGGGCCUAAAUACCCCUCCUCUAGAUCUGAUAGGAUUUAACCGGCCUUUGACCCCAAAGGCAGUUACCAGGUUCCCAUUUGCAUAAUUGCUGCUCAGCAUUAACCCUUCUGUGGAUUUGGUUGCUGCUCAGCACAACUUUUCUUGUGUGGACAGUAAAUGCCAUUAACCACAUUUUUAUAAGCAGUUGAAUACAUGACAAAGGGUCAGCAAGGAGCUGAAGAUAGCAACAAGGAGCAGGAAGUGACUGAAGGAGCACAAAGGUGAAGUGG